UGGAGCGGGUAAUUGAGUUCUUUACCCUGUAAUUUGUAGUUGAUUAACUGAUUGCACGGUAACCCGUUGGUUUUACCAUUUCUCAGGUCAAGGGCAGAUAUUUUGUAUUGUAUUGUGGACAGAGAAAAAGCAAAAUCAGUUGUCUUACCUUAGCUAUGAGCCUUAAAAAUGAGUUGCGUUUUAAAUUGGAACAAACAAUACAGCUGCUGAAACAGGCGUUUACGAUUUAUAAGCAGGAUGAAAUAUUUCUUUCUUUUAACGGAGGCAAAGACUGCACUGUAUUGCUAGAUAUUGUAGUAAGAUUACUGCCCAGUUAUUCGAAGCACAACUUUGACAUCCGAUGUAUAUACGUACAACCAGCCGAUCCGUUUGAAGAACUAGAGGUAUUCGUAGAGCAAUGCAAGAAUUAUUACAACAUUGACAUUCAAAUCAUGAGAGGUGGAAUUAAAUCGGUUCUAAAACAAAUAUGCCAGGAAAGUCUCAGCAUAAAAGCUUGUUUGAUGGGUGCAAGGCGAACUGACCCACACUGUGAACAUCUGAAACCGAUGCAGGAAACUGACCCGGGUUGGCCAAGUAUAAUACGGAUAAACCCAUUAAUUGAUUGGACUUGUUCUGAAGUGUGGGAAUACAUAAGGGGAAAUAAUGUACCUUAUUGUAUUUUAUAUGACCAAGGAUAUACAUCAAUCGGCGAUAAAUCUAAUACAAUACCAAAUCCGCAUUUGAAGCGUGUGGGCAAAUAUGGAGAAAUAACAUACUUACCAGCAUAUCAGUUACAAGAAGCAGAUGCAUAUGAAAGAGCAGGAAGAACAUAGUUUUUUCGACGGAGUUUGUGUGCGUAUAGUAAAAUUUGAGCGGAUCCUACUGGAGACAAAAAUAAUGACAAGAGACCCACUCAUCAUUAACAUAUUGAUCAAUAAAUUUUUGAAUAAAUAAAUAAUUUGAUUAUUUUCAAUAUUCCUGCCUGUAGAGCCCAUCACACAAUAGCGAGAAUAUUAACUGGAGGUAGAGUGUGUGUUCAAAUUAUAUAAUCACCUAUUUGUUUCAAUGAAUUUUUUUUUUAGGUUUUGACUAAAGUGGUACCUAAUUCUAGAUUUUUAGUAGUGCCUUACCGAAAACAACUCAAAAAAUGUAUAUACAUAUAUACAGCAAUUCCAUGAAAAAAAGUUAUACGAUCUCUCAGAAUUCUGCAAUAUUUGGUAGAAUCGUUCCUUACCGAAAAAUAUUAGAUGCAUAUUUUUUUCGUCAUUAGGGUGUCCCUUUCCACGUUCCACUUUUGAACCGCUGAACCGAUUUUCAUAAAUUAUAGGUCAAAAUUUAGGUAUUUAAGUGUAGUUUCAAUCAAAAAAUUAUUAACUUUAAAAAAUAUUGAGUUUUGUACGAACAAAAUACGCAUUAAAUGCUUUUUCUUGAUUUUCACUGCGAGGCUCCUUGAAUUCUUCAUACUAUUAUAUUUUUAUUUGAAAGAUCAUUCAAUUCUACACAACAUCUCCAAACAUAUUUCUGAACUAGAUGUAUAGGUUUCGGAGAUAUAUUUUUUUGAAAAUAAAAUAUCUAUGUGUACACAUAACAUGCAUGGAAACGAUGUAACCGCAUGGUAGUUCACCAUACAUUUCCAACGAGUCACAGCAGCAGUGAAUAAAGAAAUCUACGAUUUACUUACAAGCUGGGUGCAACAUUCGUUUCAACCUGGGGGUUGUUCAUUACCCAAGUAAAAAAAAUCAGACAUUGCAGAUCCUGCCCUCCCCUCGCGUUCGAAAUAUUGUUACCGAGCGUCCACUUUGGCUAGAUUGCCCUAGUAACAAUUGAGGUUUUAUGGUAGUUUUAUAGCCAGUGAUAAAACUUAGAUUGCACUUGUAGCAUGCUAUAAAACUUCAAUUGUUACUUGGGUGGGAGUGUUGCUCGGAUUUAAAAACAGAGUAUUCAACGUAUUUGCUGAGACAAAGGAUGGUUGGCAUGACUAGCAGAUAGUUUUUGGGUAGGUAGGGAAUUUUUACCUGUAUUUCGGGUUUGUUUCAAUAGCUUUUGUCGCAAGUAAGUUGAAGAAAUAGGUAAAUUUUGCUUUUGCUGGUACUACAUCACUAGCUCGUAGGUUCGAAUAUAUUACAUAAACCAGGAAUGUUUUGAAAGAAAUUAUUAGUUAGAAAACAGAGUCUCCUACAACAACAGUUCAAUUGAAGAAUCUCUUAAAAUGAAAUGUAAGUGUUCAGUUUGUGGUGUUUGGAUGUUGAGUACGCGUAUCAGAAAACUCACCAAUAAAUUGUACGAUUGUGCAAUGAAAAAAAAAAAGAAAACAGAUGAGAGCAAUUCCUUCAUUUGUUUUCGUUGCUACAAUAAACUGUAUGAACCAAAUGAUCCCGAGACCGAAGAAGCCGUUGCAGGACCAUCGAGAAUCGCUGUUCCAGGUAUAUUAUCGAAAAUAUGAAAUGAUUGUAUUUUUUUUAAUUUCAAUUCUUUUCUUCAAACUACUAACACGAACUCUUGUUCUUUGAAACCUUUUUUCAGAGUCCCUCGAAACAUUGACCGCCAUUGCAGGACCUUCCGGAUUAGUUUCAUUUUCCUACCAAGGUAAAUAAUAAAAACCCGUUUCAAUCCACUUGGUGGUGCAAUUGUGCCUUUCUCAUUUAUCCAAACUACGAUUCCAUGGCUGUGUAUGUUUAAUAUAAUGGUGGAAAUGUCUAUUACAUAUUCAGUGUGGUUUACAUAUAAGUACAAUGAAUCGACAGCUUCGAACUUGUGUGGCUAUGUGUCGAUGCUGAAACACUUGAAAUCAGCGGCGGAUCCAGGAGGAGGGCUCGGGGGUUGGACCCCACCAACAAAUUUUAACUUGUUAAGAAAUUUUAAAUUAGUUUCUCAACUCAAAAUCAUUUCAAACCAAAAUUUUCACUGGUUUUUCAGACCCGCUAGGAAAAUUUAUUCUGGAGGAACUAGAAAAAUUUUUUCGGGUAGGGAGGUACAUGAUGAGCGAAGGGAGGUUUAGGAAAUGGUGGUGAGUGAUGUGGGGGAGAGGGGGUACCCCUCACCGUAUGCCCCUAAUUAUGCCCCUGUUAAAAUACAGAAAACCUAUACAAGUCAAACAAAAAAAAUUGAACAUUAAGUUGACGAUGUUCAGAGUGAUUGCAUGAUUGCAUAACCUUUCUAUAGGAGAAAGGCAAAAAUGUGAAUUUGCUGUGUAUCCGCACUCUUCAACUCGUAACUCCGGAACCAGAAGUCGGAAUUUACUGAAAUUCAAUAGCAGCCUAUGGGAACCUAGCUUUCAUUUAAGAGUAAUUUUGAAAAAAUCGGUUCAGCCAUUCCUGAGUAGAUGAAAAUAGAUGAGAGCAGCUCCUUCAUUUGUUUCCGUUGCUACAAUAAACUAUAUGAACCAAAUGAUCCCGAGACCGAAGAAGCCGUUGCAGGACCAUCGAGAAUCGCUGUUCCAGGUAUAUUAUCGAAAAAUGACAUGAUUGUUUUUUUUAAAUUUCAAUUCUUUUCUUCAAACUACUAACACGAACUCUUGUUCUUUGAAAACUUUUUUCAGAGACCUUCGAAACAUUGACCGCCAUUGCAGGACCUUCCGGAUUCGUUUCAUUUUCCUACCAAGGUCGUCGAAGUCUCUCAGAUUGCUACCCACAAGCUCCAUGUUGCGAUUCAAAAUCGGAAUCACAAUCCUGAACUAAGCACCGUAGGCUGAUUUGUUGGAAGCCGGAUUUUUUUAGUAUUUGUGACGGUAUCUUUCGUGUGCAUGAAAUGAAGAAAACCCAAGAAAAUGGAGCAAUUCUCUUCCGGUAUCAAAGUUGGCUUUAAAAAAGAGAUAUUUGCUCAUGCCAUCGUCGAUAUUCUGAUCGGUAACAAGUUUCUAGACCAUGCCAUUGAUGCGCUGGGUAACGCUGUUACGGAAAGAGCAAAAUCGCCACCGCUCAGAUUCUGCGAGUCGGUAUCCAUACAGGCUGGAAAACUCGCAUUGAAGAUAUAUACUAUCAUAGGCGUUUCAAUAACCGUCAACCUCGUCGAAUAUGUACUAUCAUAAAUCGCCAUCGCUCAAGUGUUCGAUUGUGGCCAAAGAGAUGCUUGGCCGAUGCCUUUCAAGAAGUACACUGUCAUUGUUCCGGUUAUCUGGUGCAACUUUGCGAGACCUUGGUAGAACGUACUUUAAAGGCGAAAGAAGGCGACAACGGGAAAAGAAAACUACGAGUACGACGAAAUAAAAGCAUCUCUGAAAUGAUAACUGAAUCCGGUGGAGAUCACAUUAAUCGGAGAGGUUUAUUUGAAGAAAACGCUUCCUCGACGGAAAAUAUUUCCUGCUGUCAGAAAUCAAAUGCACUUGCCUUUUUUCUAAUCGCAGCAUAGAGUUAUUGUUAUUGGAAUUUAAAUUGAAAGAACUGUACAAAGCUGCAGUAAAAUCUGAUAAAAUACCAUCAACCGACAUCGAUGUGACCUUGAUAAUUAGGAAGAAAUUGAUGGGUAAAACAGCAAAGGACAAAAUCUUCAAUACGUCUUCAAUAUCGUUAAACUUUUAGAAAAAUGUAAUGCUAACGAAAUAUUGAUAAUCCUAUCGCUUGUUAGUCCAAUUGUGUGGCACAAGCAAUUUUCCUCAGGCCAAAAAUAUUCCCAGCUUUCCAACUAUAUGUGAUUCAAAAUCAUCUAUAGUGAGAAUAUUUUCUAGCUAACGCUCACCACCGGAUUCUUUGUUUGUGAGCCUAACUACUAAAAUGACUACAACCCGGUAAUGCAGUUUAAUUGUACAUUUCGAUCAGCCUUAAACAACUCCGCUACAAGUUCUGGUGGUGGAAGUACUAAUGUGCCUAGCAUAUGUGAGAGCGAGAUGAUAAAUUUUCAGUGUUAGCAGCGACAUGCGACCUGUACCCAGUUAAACCCAUUCCGGAAACGGUUCGGAAUUCUGAAUGGAGUCAGUAUGGAUUAUGCAACAACCGAUUCCGACUCAAUCGGUUUCAGAAUCUGGUAGCAGUGACAUGCGUCCUCUAGUAGUUAUAAGCUCUUUUCUCUACAAAUGUGUUUAAAUGUGUAUACCAUGUAUCUUUUUAUUAAUAAUUUUAUCACUUGUAUACGUUUCUCCUUAAAGUACGAUUUACACGAUUCGUCAGUUUCCAUCAACGGAACACAACAUCAAAGUCACGUCACCGUUUCGCCAGGAUAAGUUGAAUGCAUGUCUUAUGCGCACAUUCACACGUACCGUACGUUAAAACGUUUCGUGCCGUUGUGUCAUUGUGUGUGAACGUUUCCAUUGAGUAUUGCAUGAAACUUUAACCUUAUUUUUUGAUAGUUUAGAGAGCUUUUUUACGUCAACAUGGGGAUUUUUGAUUAUAGCACACUUCAAAAACUUGAAACUUUUACUUUCCAACACCUAGUAAACAAGCUCGUUUAUGAUGUCAUCAUGAGCACGCGUGUUUUUCUAAACGGCCUAUAAGCAUACUGUCAAAAUUUACUUUAAGAGACAAUUGCGAAUAAACCGUAGCUCAUCGAGAACGGAUGUCCACAAUUUAUGAAAGAGAAAAGUUUUCUCUUUCGUCUACUGCUGUUACUAAUGAUCGGCAAGUAAUGGUUUGUGUGGAAUUUCCCCUCAGAGUGAGAUUUGACAGCAUGCUUAUUAGCCCUUUUAAAAAAAGUUCUAUAGGUAAUUAAUUUAUACCUUUCGUUGACGUGCAGUACGAAGAAAGACUGACAAAUCGUGUAAAUGGCACUUAACUCUUUAUAUAAUGCACUACAUAACCAACAUAUUGUAUUUCACCAUGCAUUCAAAAAUAUUGACAUCCAUAAAAAAAUCAUAAAAAGUCACUCCUAUAGGCAGUUAGGUUAUAUUAAAAAUUUAGGGUAGAAUUUGUGUGAUAUUAAAGGUUUAGAUAUAGAUAGGACUAAGUACAUAGAUCGUGGUAAUAAUAUUUCAAUGUGCCGCAUGACAGGCUAAAUUAAACAUAGAUUUAAAUUCCGUGAAUAAAAUAAAAGCGAACUGUUUUAUAUAUGAACUAAAUAUAGAUAACACAUUCCUUGAUUUGAACUGACGGUCCAUUCAAAAACCAAUAAAAUAUCAUCUUGUUCUUCGAGCAUCUUUCAUUCAAUUUUGUGAUGACUCGCAUACUAAGAAAUAAUGGAAGUAAUUUGAUUCCCCUAUUUGAUAUAUACAGUAAAUAAGAGAAUAUCUGUUAAAAUUCGACAUCUUAGAUGUUGAAAAAUUAAUUAUCGCAUUUCAAUCCUGUACAGUAGCUAUUUUGAAAUUCAAAACUUUUGCAUAUAACUUCUGUAUGACUAUUAUUUGAUACUUGCAUACAUGAACGAAAUGUAGUUUGCAACCAAAAUCAAAUGGCAGCCAUCCAAAACACAACUGUCAAAUGUUAAAGGGCUGGGUCAUAAA